AGUGAACGCUGGCGGUAGACCUAACACAUGCAAGUCGAACGGCAGCACAGUAAGAGCUUGCUCUUACGGGUGGCGAGUGGCGGACGGGUGAGGAAUACAUCGGAAUCUACUUUUUCGUGGGGGAUAACGUAGGGAAACUUACGCUAAUACCGCAUACGACCUACGGGUGAAAGCAGGGGAUCUUCGGACCUUGCGCGAUUGAAUGAGCCGAUGUCGGAUUAGCUAGUUGGCGGGGUAAAGGCCCACCAAGGCGACGAUCCGUAGCUGGUCUGAGAGGAUGAUCAGCCACACUGGAACUGAGACACGGUCCAGACUCCUACGGGAGGCAGCAGUGGGGAAUAUUGGACAAUGGGCGCAAGCCUGAUCCAGCCAUACCGCGUGGGUGAAGAAGGCCUUCGGGUUGUAAAGCACUUUUGUUGGGAAAGAAAAGCAGCAGGUUAAUACCCCGCUGUUCUGACGGUACCCAAAGAAUAAGCACCGGCUAACUUCGUG
rnacentral:rRNA from 1 species